AGCUCAGUCUUUCGCGUGUAUCUGAAUCAUAGUUUGAUACAUACGAACGGGUGAGUUCC
rnacentral:pre_miRNA from 1 species